UUCAAUGUUUGCUGCGCAUGCAGGCCAUCGUAUACAUUGCCAGUCGUAAGUGUUUGACGCGUAAAACCAAUGUGGUAGACUAUACCGCAGUCGAUUUUCUUAUUCACCUACUAGACGAAAGGUUGAGCACAUUGCCUCGUGUGUCCAGUGCGUACGCACCAGGGCAGGAAAACCUGUAGUAUCGUUUAGGUUUCUCAAGCAACGCCAGUACCGGGCGUAAAAUGCAAAACAUCUAUUUAGUAUCGUCACGACAAAAAGGGUUUCAUUGUACUUGUUUCGUUGCGCAUAUACGUUCAGGUAAGGUUUGAGAACGCAUUAUCAACGGUAUAGCAAUUGGCGCUGGCAAUGGACGGAACGGAGAUGAUUCCGUUGCUUAUCGCUUUCACGUACGAAGGCGGAACAUUUUAUUUAAGAAUAUGUUUAACCACACUUGCGGGGGGCAGUGGACACCUCGUCCGCUCAUCCUUCUUGUCGGCCAGGGUAACCAGGCUUAAAAUCCGACUGAGCAAGCGAAAAGAGAAGUUGUUCGAAGCUAGUAAGAGUGACGUAUUCGACUCAUGACCUCCUUAUCGAGUCAAAAUUCAACGGAUCUGGUUUUUGUCCCGACUUAGAACAGGAGGCGCUGGGAGACGACGAAAUGGCUGAAGGAAAGGCAAAGUGUAGACAGACUCCAGUGAAAUGAAGACAGAUGCCGAGCUUCUCAAGCCCUCUACCAAACAACUGUCGUCCAUGACCCGGCCUACAUUCUCAUACACUCGUGUUCCAGCAUAACGUUGUUCGCCUUGUUUGCACUUGCCAAGACGCUGCCGCUGUCACUAAAGGAGUGCCUUACCCCUUGAUCCCAUUAUUUUGCGAUACCCCGAUCCUCUUAAACCCUCAGCUAAAACAGUUAUUUUGGUCUGCCGAGAAAGAAGAAAAGAGGCCAAGCGCCGGAACAAACCCUGAGAA